AGUCUCAACUUUGACCUUUCAACAGAUAUAACCCGGAAGUCCUCACUCAAAGUCCGCUAUCCACCAAGUGAUGAUUUGUUAGUGAAUGCGGGUUGCCCCAUUUAGAACGAUAGACGGCACGCGCACGGAAGCUGUUUUAUUUGUCCUCACAUAACCUUUGGUCCUAUCAAUGGAGAUCACGUGACGGUGGGGUCAGGCGUAAGUUUGUCCGCUGAGGAGUAGGUCAGCACUGGUGCAUUGAGUACCACUUCCGCAAUCACAAGUCGGAGUUAGACACUCGUACCCUCAGGUUACAAUGAGCGGUCGUCACGGCAUGAACUGGACCCACGAGGGGGUUUGUCUCCCUCGUAUCGUCACCAAGGAGGCACUGGACGCCGUGUUUGAUUUCCAGAUUCGAGAUGACGACAUUGUUGUGGCGAGCUU